UAAACAAAAUAAACAGAUUAACUGAACUAAACGGUGAAUGAAAAAAAAAAACAAAACAUUUGAAUAUAUAGGGAACGUUAUCAGCACUGCCGUUGAGAGCAUGGCAUUCCUCAGUAUAAAGUGCACAUGUAUCUGUGUAUAAUGUAUAAUAUAUAAAAUAUUACUUCAUUUAAGUGUGAUGAUUGCAAAGUAAAUAAUUAUUUGCAGAUAUUUGUUGUACGCAUGUAUAAAACACUUUCAAUCAAUGUGAGUUCAAGUGCACUGCACUGAUAAGAAUUGCGAGCGGUCAGUGUAAAGAAGGCGAGACCAACAUUUUAGUCAUUGUUAAUAUACUAAAGAAUCAACAACACAAAAGAACGCGAAUAUUCAAAAUAUAAAUAAAAUUGGUGAACAAUAUUAAAGACGGCAGAAAAAUGAAAUUACUAUAUUACCUAGUUGUGCUGUUUCUAAUCGGAAUUAGCGGUAUUGUGCAGUUUGAAACCAAUCUCGUUACUAGUAAAGUGAUUUUUUAUACUAACAAAAAUAAAACUAAGGAAAGCAGCAUAUUUGCAAUACAUCGACGUAAAUGCCGUUACGCAAUGGAUCAUCUUGGUCGUUGUCGUAAUUUUGCAUAAGCACAGCUGUAGACGAAAUCGGAAGUUGUGAGCGUAAACCCCCCAAGUGCUUCGAUCCACAUACACAACGAUAAAAGUGACAAAUUAUAGUGUUGCUAUGAGAUUGGAAAUUUCUAAUUUUUUGCUAUUAUUUAUAAAGGCAUUACAUUUAUCGCUUUGCCGCCACUGAUGAAAUAGCCAACUAAUAAAAUACAAAUAUGUUAUAAUA